UUAAAUUGAAGAGUUUGAUCAUGGCUCAGAUUGAACGCUGGCGGCAGGCCUAACACAUGCAAGUCGAACGGUAACAGGAAGCAGCUUGCUGCUUUGCUGACGAGUGGCGGACGGGUGAGUAAUGUCUGGGAAACUGCCUGAUGGAGGGGGAUAACUACUGGAAACGGUGGCUAAUACCGCAUAAUGUCGCAAGACCAAAGAGGGGGACCUUCGGGCCUCUUGCCAUCAGAUGUGCCCAGAUGGGAUUAGCUUGUUGGUGAGGUAACGGCUCACCAAGGCGACGAUCCCUAGCUGGUCUGAGAGGAUGACCAGCCACACUGGAACUGAGACACGGUCCAGACUCCUACGGGAGGCAGCAGUGGGGAAUAUUGCACAAUGGGCGCAAGCCUGAUGCAGCCAUGCCGCGUGUAUGAAGAAGGCCUUCGGGUUGUAAAGUACUUUCAGCGGGGAGGAAGGUGUUGUGGUUAAUAACCGCAGCAAUUGACGUUACCCGCAGAAGAAGCACCGGCUAACUCCGUGCCAGCAGCCGCGGUAAUACGGAGGGUGCAAGCGUUAAUCGGAAUUACUGGGCGUAAAGCGCACGCAGGCGGUCUGUCAAGUCGGAUGUGAAAUCCCCGGGCUCAACCUGGGAACUGCAUUCGAAACUGGCAGGCUUGAGUCUUGUAGAGGGGGGUAGAAUUCCAGGUGUAGCGGUGAAAUGCGUAGAGAUCUGGAGGAAUACCGGUGGCGAAGGCGGCCCCCUGGACAAAGACUGACGCUCAGGUGCGAAAGCGUGGGGAGCAAACAGGAUUAGAUACCCUGGUAGUCCACGCCGUAAACGAUGUCUACUUGGAGGUUGUGCCCUUGAGGCGUGGCUUCCGGAGCUAACGCGUUAAGUAGACCGCCUGGGGAGUACGGCCGCAAGGUUAAAACUCAAAUGAAUUGACGGGGGCCCGCACAAGCGGUGGAGCAUGUGGUUUAAUUCGAUGCAACGCGAAGAACCUUACCUGGUCUUGACAUCCACGGAAGUUUUCAGAGAUGAGAAUGUGCCUUCGGGAACCGUGAGACAGGUGCUGCAUGGCUGUCGUCAGCUCGUGUUGUGAAAUGUUGGGUUAAGUCCCGCAACGAGCGCAACCCUUAUCCUUUGUUGCCAGCGGUCCGGCCGGGAACUCAAAGGAGACUGCCAGUGAUAAACUGGAGGAAGGUGGGGAUGACGUCAAGUCAUCAUGGCCCUUACGACCAGGGCUACACACGUGCUACAAUGGCGCAUACAAAGAGAAGCGACCUCGCGAGAGCAAGCGGACCUCAUAAAGUGCGUCGUAGUCCGGAUUGGAGUCUGCAACUCGACUCCAUGAAGUCGGAAUCGCUAGUAAUCGUGGAUCAGAAUGCCACGGUGAAUACGUUCCCGGGCCUUGUACACACCGCCCGUCACACCAUGGGAGUGGGUUGCAAAAGAAGUAGGUAGCUUAACCUUCGGGAGGGCGCUUACCACUUUGUGAUUCAUGACUGGGGUGAAGUCGUAACAAGGUAACCGUAGGGGAACCUGCGGUUGGAUCACCUCCUUACCUUAAAGAAGC
rnacentral:rRNA from 1 species